AUGGCCGUCUCCGAUAGGUCGCGCAACGCGCUGCUCCCCAGCUUCCUCUACGCGGCCCCCUCCGCCGCCGCCGCCUCCACCCCUUUCUCUGCGGCCGCUGGCAUUGGUGGCCGCGGGCUCGUCGCACCGUCCCAUGCGGCGGCGACGAGGCCGGCGGCGUGGGCGCGGGCGCCUAGCGAGCCGUCCCGGAAGAUCGAGAUGUACUCGCCCGCCUUCUACGCGGCGUGCACGGCCGGUGGCAUCACCAGCUGCGGGCUCACGCACAUGACCGUCACGCCCCUCGACCUCGUCAAGUGCAACAUGCAGAUUGAUCCAGCCAAGUACAAGAGCAUCUCUUCUGGAUUUGGUGUUCUCUUGAAAGAGCAAGGGGCAAAGGGUUUCUUCAGAGGCUGGGUGCCUACUUUGAUUGGUUACAGUGGUCAAGGCGCCUGCAAAUUUGGUUUCUACGAGUUCUUCAAGAAGUAUUACUCAGAUAUUGCUGGACCUGAGAAUGCAGUCAAGUACAAGACUUUGAUCUAUCUUGCUGGCUCUGCUUCGGCUGAGGUUAUUGCAGAUGUUGCCCUCUGCCCUAUGGAGGCUGUGAAGGUUCGUGUGCAGACACAGCCUGGUUUUGCAAAAGGUUUAUCUGAUGGGCUACCUAAGUUUGUCAAGGCUGAAGGAUAUGCUGGAUUGUACAAGGGAAUUGUUCCUCUCUGGGGCCGUCAAAUUCCAUACACUAUGAUGAAAUUUUCCUCCUUCGAGACGAUUGUUGAGAUGAUCUACAAGUACACAAUUCCUGCCCCCAAGAGCGAGUGCAGCAAGUCUCUCCAGCUCGGAGUGAGCUUUGCAGGGGGUUACGUUGCUGGAGUGUUGUGCGCAAUAGUUUCGCACCCAGCUGACAACCUUGUUUCAUUCCUCAACAAUGCCAAGGGAGCAACUGUGGGCGACGCUGUGAAGAAACUUGGUCUGUGGGGUCUGUUUACUCGUGGUCUCCCUCUGCGUAUCGUGAUGAUUGGUACCCUCACUGGAGCUCAGUGGGGCAUCUAUGAUGCUUUCAAAGUCAUGGUUGGACUGCCAACUACUGGUGGAGUUGCUCCGACUCCUGCUGCCGCUGGAGAGCAGCUCAAGGGCUGA
rnacentral:rRNA from 1 species